rnacentral:rRNA from 1 species
UACGGAGGGGGUUAGCGUUGUUCGGAAUUACUGGGCGUAAAGCGCGCGUAGGCGGAUUAGAAAGUUGGGGGUGAAAUCCCGGGGCUCAACCUCGGAACUGCCUCCAAAACUGCUAGUCUAGAGUUCGAGAGAGGUGAGUGGAAUUCCGAGUGUAGAGGUGAAAUUCGUAGAUAUUCGGAGGAACACCAGUGGCGGAGGCGGCUCACUGGCUCGAUACUGACGCUGAGGUGCGAAAGUGUGGGGAACAAACAGG